GACAAAAGACAUUUAUUGGCAGAAGAUGGUGCCUUGUGUCUUUUCAAGUUGUUUUGUUUAAGCAACUUUACAUUUACAGGUAUCAAUUACUAUAUCGAACAAUAAAAAUUAAACAUCAAUAAACGGUAAAUAACACUAAUAAUAUCCUUCCUGAAUACAGCCUUCUGUCUUGGUCUCAGAUGAUCCAUGUUCAGGUUUUGCAAAGCCUGUAAAGAAUGACAAGGUUUAAAUAGUCACGUUUGUUCCUCCCGUCCCACCUGUUUCUUCCACACGGACUCCAACUCCCAUGAUCCUCUGAACAGUUUAAUCAGACGCAAUUGUAACGUUGAGCGGUAAGGAGGCGGACGCGUCUGCGGAGAAGAGCGAGAUUUAUUAUGUGUAAAUCCAAAUUCAGAGUUGUUAUAGCAGUCCAGGGACAUUGAGAUUACGGGGAUACAUGAUGAACCAAAGAUACAAGUACACGAACGCAGACAGGGGAAGCAGGCUACAACCAAAACUAGGAAAUAACAAACGGAGAAAAAAUCAGUGUACACGACACAUCCUUUCAGUGCCUGUAUGCCAUCCUCCAUAUUGAAAGGCCUGGCAGGGUUGGGAUGUUGCAGACUCGUAGUGGUGAAGGCCAUCUUGAGCUCCUUGAAGGCAUUUUCAAUCACAGGGCCCCAGGACAGCUGGUUGUUCUUCCCAUGAAGCAGACAAGAAUGACUACAGACCUGUCAUCAUCAAGUGAUUUGAGAGACUGAUAUUACACCACCUCAUAAUCCUGACUGACAGCCUCCAAGACCCUCAGACAUUCUCAUACAGAGUUAACAGGCACUAUUCCAGUUUCUACCCACCAACUAGCCAGCUCUCCCCAUCAUGAGAUAAAUACCAGCAAGCACAUCAUCACUGAACAGCAGGUUCUCAGGAGACUGAGGUGUAAGAGAUCAGCGGCCUGGAUGGUCUCUCUCCUGCUGAUCUCUGUCACUGUCCUGAACAUCUUCCCACAACCUCACUGAUCUCCUCUGUCAGUCCCUGACACAGUGUGCUGUGUCUGCUUGUUUCAAGGCCUCUGUCAUCAUACCAGUUCCCAAACAACUGAAUAUCUCAUUGAAUGACUACAGACCUGUAGUCAUCAAGUGCUUUGAGAGACUGAUAUUACAUCACCUCAUAAUCCUGACUGACAGUAGAUGAUACCCCAAUAUAUACACUACAUCCUACAACACCUGGAUGCCCUUCACAUCUUCACCUGUGUGCUGUUUGGAGAUUUUAGCUCUGUGUUUAAUCCCAUCAUCCCUUAUGUUCUUAUGUGCACACUGAGGCAGCUCAGUGUUUGCUACUGGAUCCACAAAGUCCUGUCCAACAGGAAACAGUGUGUAAGGCUGGGUGUUUCAGACCCUCUCUGCCUCAGUAUCAGUGCUCCACAGGCCUGUGUGUUCUCUCUUUACUCUGCUCUCAUUACACAAAUGACUGGACCUCUAACAAUAACUCUUUUAAACUUAUUACAAUUGCAGAUGACACCAUUCUGGUCGGUCUCAUCUCUAACUAUGAUGAGUUCAAAUACUAAAAGAAAUUGAAGCAUCUGGUGUUCUGGUGUGGAACUACUAGUCUGGAGUUGGCAUGAGACAGACACAGCACUGCAGUUAUGGAGAAAGAUUAAGAAUAUAUGGACAAAGAUAAAGAAAUAACAGUGCUCAGCUUUCUGUGGUCCCAGUCCCAUUC